rnacentral:rRNA from 1 species
UGGGGAAUAUUGCACAAUGGGCGCAAGCCUGAUGCAGCCAUGCCGCGUGUGUGAAGAAGGCCUUCGGGUUGUAAAGCACUUUCAGCGGGGAGGAAGGCGAUAAGGUUAAUAACCUUGUCGAUUGACGUUACCCGCAGAAGAAGCACCGGCUAACUCCGUGCCAGCAGCCGCGGUAAUACGGAGGGUGCAAGCGUUAAUCGGAAUUACUGGGCGUAAAGCGCACGCAGGCGGUUUGUUAAGUCAGAUGUGAAAUCCCCGGGCUCAACCUGGGAACUGAAUCUGAUACUGGCAAGCUUGAGUCUCGUAGAGGGGGGUAGAAUUCCAGGUGUAGCGGUGAAAUGCGUAGAGAUCUGGAGGAAUACCGGUGGCGAAGGCGGCCCCCUGGACGAAGACUGACGCUCAGGUGCGAAAGCGUGGGGAGCAAACAGG